rnacentral:rRNA from 1 species
GAUGAACGCUGGCGGCGUGCCUAACACAUGCAAGUCGAGCGAUUCUCUUCGGAGAAGAGCGGCGGACGGGUGAGUAACGCGUGGGUAACCUGCCCUGUACACACGGAUAACAUACCGAAAGGUAUGCUAAUACGAGAUAAUAUACUUUUAUCGCAUGGUAGAAGUAACAAAGCUUUUGAGGUACAGGAUGGAUCCGCGUCUGAUUAGCUAGUUGGUAAGGUGACGGCUUACCAAGGCGACGAUCAGUAGCCGACCUGAGAGGGUGAUCGGCCACAUUGGAACUGAGACACGGUCCAAACUCCUACGGGAGGCAGCAGUGGGGAAUAUUGCACAAUGGGCGAAAGCCUGAUGCAGCAACGCCGCGUGAGCGAUGAAGGCCUUCGGGUCGUAAAGCUCUGUCCUCAAGGAAGAUAAUGACGGUACUUGAGGAGGAAGCCCCGGCUAACUACGUGCCAGCCGCCGCAGUAA